rnacentral:rRNA from 1 species
CAUUAGUUAGUUGGCGGGGUAACGGCCCACCAAGACAACGAUGGAUAGGGGUUCUGAGAGGAAGGUCCCCCACAUUGGAACUGAGACACGGUCCAAACUCCUACGGGAGGCAGCAGUGAGGAAUAUUGGUCAAUGGACGAGAGUCUGAACCAGCCAAGUAGCGUGAAGGAUGACUGCCCUAUGGGUUGUAAACUUCUUUUAUAUGGGAAUAAAACGUUCCACGUGUGGGAUUUUGUAUGUACCAUAUGAAUAAGGAUCGGCUAACUCCGUGCCAGCAGCCGCGGUAAUACGGAGGAUCCGAGCGUUAUCCGGAUUUAUUGGGUUUAAAGGGAGCGUAGGUGGAUUGUUAAGUCAGUUGUGAAAGUUUGCGGCUCAACCGUAAAAUUGCAGUUGAAACUGGCAGUCUUGAGUACAGUAGAGGUGGGCGGAAUUCGUGGUGUAGCGGUGAAAUGCUUAGAUAUCACGAAGAACUCCGAUUGCGAAGGCAGUUCACUGGACUGCAACUGACACUGAGGCUCGAAAGUGUGGGUAUCAAACAGGAUUAGAUACCCUGGUAGUCCACACAGUAAACGAUGAAUACUCGCUGUUUGCGAUAUACAGCAAGCGGC